UCCCUGGUGGUCUAGUGGUCAAGGAUUCAGCACUGUCACUUCUGUGGCUCAGGUUCGAUCCCUGGUCCAGGAA
rnacentral:tRNA from 1 species